rnacentral:rRNA from 1 species
CGGGGUUUUGGCAUGGGGGAAACCCUGAUCAGCCUGCCGCGUGUGUGAAGAAGGCCUUUUGGUUGUAAAGCACUUUAAGCGAGGAGGAGGCUACUUAGAUUAAUACUCUAGGAUAGUGGACGUUACUCGCAGAAUAAGCACCGGCUAACUCUGUGCCAGCAGCCGCGGUAAUACAGAGGGUGCGAGCGUUAAUCGGAUUUACUGGGCGUAAAGCGUGCGUAGGUGGUCUUUUAAGUCGGAUGUGAAAUCCCUGAGCUUAACUUAGGAAUUGCAUUCGAUACUGGGAGACUAGAGUAUGGGAGAGGAUGGUAGAAUUCCAGGUGUAGCGGUGAAAUGCGUAGAGAUCUGGAGGAAUACCGAUGGCGAAGGCAGCCAUCUGGCCUAAUACUGACACUGAGGCACGAAAGCA